rnacentral:autocatalytically_spliced_intron from 1 species
AAAGUUUCUUACGAAGAAGGUUUAGCCAAUCACUUCGGCCUCCGGCGGAGGGACGAAUGCGGUAACGCGUGCG